AGAGUUUGAUCAUGGCUCAGAACGAACGCUGGCGGCGUGGAUAAGACAUGCAAGUCGAGCGCUAAUUACAGGGUAGCAAUAUUCUGUAGUUGGAGCGGCGCAAGGGUGCGUAACACGUGGGUAAUCUGCCAUGAAGUUUGGGAUAACUUGCUGAAAGGCGAGCUAAUACCGAAUGUGAAAAUUAGGAGGCAUCUUCUGAUUUUCAAAGUUGGGGACCGUAAGGCCUGACGCUUCAUGAUGAGCCCGCGGCCUAUCAGCUAGUUGGUGAGGUAACGGCUCACCAAGGCUAAGACGGGUAGCUGGUCUGAGAGGACGACCAGCCACACUGGAACUGAGACACGGUCCAGACACCUACGGGUGGCAGCAGUCGAGAAUUUUUCUCAAUGGGCGCAAGCCUGAAGGAGCGACGCCGCGUGGGGGAUGAAUGGCUUCGGCCCGUAAACCCCUGUCAUUUGCGAACAAAUUGGUUCACUUAAUACCUGAACCAUUGAUAGUAGCGGAAGAGGAAGGGACGGCUAACUCUGUGCCAGCAGCCGCGGUAAUACAGAGGUCCCAAGCGUUGUUCGGAUUCACUGGGCGUAAAGGGUGCGUAGGCGGUCGGGUAAGUCUGAUGUGAAAUCUCCGAGCUUAACUCGGAAAUGGCAUUGGAUACUAUUCGGCUAGAGAGUUGGAGGGGGGGCUGGAAUACUUGGUGUAGCAGUGAAAUGCGUAGAUAUCAAGUGGAACACCAGUGGCGAAGGCGAGUCCCUGGACAACUUCUGACGCUGAGGCAUGAAAGCUAGGGGAGCAAACAGGAUUAGAUACCCUAGUAGUCC
rnacentral:rRNA from 1 species